GCGGCCGCGACUUAUUCCAGCGAGAGUCAACUGAUUCCCCCGGGCAAAAAUGCAUGCUUGUAAACCGGCCAAAGCGACCGAGAGCGGAAGAAGCUCCGCCAUCGGAAACAACGGAGGGAAACCCUGGCUUCUGAUUGGCUAAGAGGGAAGUCUCGGAAGGAGAAAAAUUCUUUGUUGCCGCGAAGUGACCAAUCAGGGAGCCGCUCGUUGUUCGUCGACGUUCCAAGGCGUUCCAAAGUGGGAGGCGCGUCCUUUGAUGUCCAUGGCUGCGGGAGUCGCCGCGAUGGGGCUCGGAAAGCCGCUCGGACCGUGGGGUGGUGUUUAUCCUGUGCGGCUUUUGCAAGCCGCCUUCUCAACAUGCUUGCUCUCAAAUUUUGGCAGCACCGCGGACAUCAUCAGAACAAUACCACAGGAUCUGUUUGCAGAGCUAUGUCAGCAAAUCAUUCAGAAUCUUCAGUGUCAGAUCCCAGCUGUGAACACAGUGGAACUAUGUCAGAGAUUUCAGGCAGCUGGGAUUGAAAUAGUCACUAGUGACCUGGAAAAGGUUGUUAAUGCCAUUUCCUUUGUAUUCAGCACAGCAGCAAAAGAUAAACUCUCGCCAGAAGACCUGUCCACCAGGCUAGGAGGUGCAGCUGGUACUCUGCCGAAACAAGCCGUCCAGGUUCUUCGUCACGUCUGGAACGAACAGGGCAGCUCGAUCGCAGUGUCGGAAGAUGCCAAAAAUGUAGCAGUUGUUGGACGGCUUAUUGAUUUUCAGUGGAAGCUGGGGAUGGCAGUGAGCUCCGACAGCUGCAAAUCUUUGAAGUCUCCUUAUGUUACGAUGGCAGUAAAAGUGGCGGAUGCUUCAGGCCACAUCACAAGCAAAACAUUUGAAAUGACGCUCCCACAAUUUCAGAAUGAAAAAGGAGAGAAUUUGGAACAUUAGAGGAGAGAAGGAAGGUUGAAGCAAUGCAGAAGUGUGAAAAGGCCCUGACUUGGGAUUUGAACUUGGACAUACAAGCCAAACACUAACUUCUACAAUCAGUUCAAGGAAAUGGCAGCCGUCCUUGAGACAGUUUGAGCAUCUGCUGUGCAUUUGUUUUGAAUCGAAUGAGCUGUUCCUGUUUGCCUUAAAACAUUGUGGGUUUUGCUAAGAGAAGGUGUCAUUUCCAUUUCCUACGCGGCUUCGCCCAUCUGCUGGACUGUUCAUGUUCAAAGGCCUGUAAAAUGCCUUCUUAUAUACUGAAAUGCUACACAUAUGUAGGACGUGCUUCUUAAGAGCAAAUGUAGUGGGUGUAGGAUUUUCACCAUACAAAAGAACCCAGAAAAUUGGGACUAUGCAGGAGAUGUUGCCUGAGUGCUGUUAGGCCACAAUUAUAAAGCUUGUGGUUUCUGUUAAUUUUUAGCUCAAGCAUAUUGAUUAGCCUGUUACCCAUGAAACGUGGCAUGCCACAUAUUUUGGGAUCCCAAAAUGCUCUUGUUUUCUAUUAAAUGUAAAGGUGGGGAAAUCGUUGCACCUUUAUUUUCCUGAU